UACGUAGGGGGCAAGCGUUGUCCGGAUUUACUGGGCGUAAAGCGCACGCAGGCGGUCUGCUAAGUUUGGAGUGACAGUUGGUGGCUCAACUACCAAAGUGCUUUGAAAACUGACAGACUUGAGGGCUUCAGAGGGACACGGAAUUCCGGGUGGAGUGGUGAAAUGCGUAGAGAUCCGGAGGAACACCAAAGGCGAAGGCAGUGUCCUGGGGAGUACCUGACGCUCAGGUGCGAAAGCCAGGGGAGCGAACGGG
rnacentral:rRNA from 1 species